rnacentral:lncRNA from 1 species
GAUAAUGAAAUAUCAAAAAGUAAAAAUAAAAUGAUAGUUUAUCUAAAAAAAGCAGAUGUUUUUUUGUAACCUAACAGACACCAACAGUACCAUGGUAUCAAUUUAAUUUGUUUUGAAAAAGUAACAUAAAUUCAUAACCUUUUUCUUUUUUACUUAUAAAUUCAUAACCUUUGUAAAUCAUAUAUACAAAAACACACAUUUUCAUACAUAUAUCAGGCAAAGUCCUAAAAGUAUGUAGCAUCCCAAAUAUCUUCAAAAACUUCAAGGCCUAACAUAAUUCCUGAAUAUCUUCAAAUACUGAUUGCCAAAAGCAUUCUGUUUGGAAUUGAAUGGAAAACCUGCUCCAAGUACAGUAUUGCAUUGUUUACAUCUCUUAAACCAGCAAAGAAGCUAUGCACAAUCACCAACAAUAGACCAUGCUUAAUUUUGGGUUCAAAUUUUCAAUUUGUAGCUUCAGGGUCAGUCUGGUUAUCUUCGCCAUGAUCAAACAACUCAGAGGCUUCGGCUGUAAAUUCUAGGUUUCCUAAAGUCUCGAGGUCGAAAGAAUUGUGUCCUAACUGUCCGGUGACCAGCCUCAACAUUAUGUUAUGAAAAGCGUUGGGUGGUACAAGCUUGAAACUGUGAUCUGAGGUGUGUUGUUGAUUAAAUCGGCCUGGAAGUUUGGAGCGGGUGUCGUAGCAAUUGGCACAAAGAUCAAAACCCAUUUUUUCCUUGCAGUCAUUGCAUCUAUAUCUAUCUCCAAUGAUAGGAAACAUCUAUAC